UCGGAUAUGGUGUAAUGGUUAACAUUACCGCCUCUCAUAACUCAAGGUUCGCGGUAGCUCGGGGUUCGAUUCCCCGUAUCCGAA